CCUUCUCAUGACUAUCAAUUCAUUCAAAAAAUCAGUCUACCCAAGUAAUGGUCCGUAUGAAAUCACAGAAACUGAGUUGUAGAAUCCAAGCGCCAUCCAUGGUCCCACAAAAGGAACUAAGAAACCAUCCAGAGCAAAAACCAGAUAUACGAAUCACUCUGAAAUAGACGAUAGGUCACCUUGCUGAGGUAUUGGGGUUGCUUGGGUCGAUAAAUUAGGGUUUGAGGUAUCGGAUUUCUUUCAGAGGAGAUAAAUUAGGGUUUGGUUCUCCAUUUUCAGAAGACUCUAGAAACAACGGCGUCCUCGAGCUGGGCUGUUCCUUUUUGGAGAGCAGCAGGUAUGACAUGUUAGAUACUCUAACAUUUGUGCUUCUCUGGUUCGUAAGUGCCUGAAGGAGCCGUACAGACGUGAUUCCCUCUCUCGAGAAAAGGUCCAUUUCUCUGUGUCAAAGUGGGUUGAUGGCAAACCUGAGAAGCCAGGAAUUUAAAAUGCACGGUGAGAUCUAUAAUUAACCAUGUUGUUCGCGAGGACUCGCCUGCUGAGUGAGGAAAAAAUCAGUUGGUUUUUGUAUUUGUAGUUGUUCGCGAGGACUCGCCUGCUGAAUGAGAUUAUUGAUGUGGAAAGGGAUCACUAAGGCUCUCGAUGACUACUAUCACUGUUUUGACUCCUGCUGAAUGAGAUUAUUGAUGUGAAAAGGGAUCAAUAAGGCUCUCGAUGACUACUCUCACUGUUUUGACUUAAGGCUGUCGAUGACUAUUGUUACCGUUUGACUGGAUGCGUUUGCGUCCACGUUUAAGGAAUUAAAAUUUAGUAAUUAUGGAUGAUGCAUCUGGAGCACUAUUUUAAAUAAAGUUAAAACUCCUCGUCUGUCAGAAUUGA